rnacentral:lncRNA from 1 species
UUUAGAGAGAAAGAGUGUUUAGAGAAUUUUGGGAUUUUUGCCAAAGUGUUGGAAUUAGCUUUUUGGUGAGAAUUUGAGUAUAUUUAUAGGGAUAGGAGGUGUCUAGGGUUUUUAGGUUUAAUUUAGGUUUAAUUAGCCAAUUUAUUUGGCUAUUAAACAUAAGAUGAAUGUUUUGGUGGUUUUUGAAUUUAUUGGGUAAUAAAAAGGAAGAAAUGGUGAAAAAGGUAGAAAAAAGUGAUGGAUUAGGUUUUGAAAUGGGGAUAGCCGGCCAUGUGGUGUUUUAGGGUUGAAUUGGAUGUAUUUUGUAGUUAUUUGGAUAUAAUGGAUGGUUUAAUUGACAAUUAAUGGGUUAAUUAGGCAAUAAACCCAUUAAUUAGCCAAUUAACAUAAUUUAAAAGGAAUGUGUUUGGGAAUUACCUUGUAGAAAGGAUUUGAUGAGAUGGACUUUGAAUUGUUACCUAUUUUGGACACUUCUGUCUUGGUUGAAAGAGGGUUGCCCGCUGCUUGCGCGUAGGAACCUCGUUGUACUGCAAGGGUAUUUUUGUCAUUUUUGUCCAAAAAUCCACGUGUCGCCCUGUGAAUAUUUUUGGCUCCACAAAUGCCCCCACACCUGUUGGGCUGCUCGCAGAAAAGGGCAGCAGGUGUAGAGAGAGAUCUUCUUGCUUUAGGAAACUUAGGACUGCUUCCUAUUUUGAUGUAGAUUAUCUCUUUAAUAGGAAAUUAGAUCCUUCUAGGAAAGGGAAAUAAAUUUCUCUCAAAGCUUAUUUAAAUCCACCUUAAGUGGGUUAUUAAAUCAACUUUGGAGAGCGAUUUAUUCUACCCUACAAGAGAGAGAUAGCUUAGAGGAUAUUUGUUCCCCCUCCUCUAGCAAUCUUCUACAUCUUGCCCGUGCAAAGGACCGUCUUUCGUUGAUUUCUUCGUCUUCUUCGUGGAUAGUGCUACCGCGGGGCAGUCGUCGGGGUGGUGCGGCACGUCAGCUGGCAUGGGCCAGGAGUCGACUCGGCAUGGGCCGAUGAGGUAUUGCGGCAGGGACCACUGCUUUAAGCUGCUCGACUUGGCUAGAACCAAGGGCAGCUUGUGUGGCUGGGACCUCGAAUUGUGGCAAUGGGGCGCAGUGUUAGGCAAGUCACAUGGCUCAUGUCUUUUUAGGCUUUUGGACAUGACUCGAGCUAGGCUGGUGAUUGAGAGAAAUGAAGAGGUUGCGAACCUCAUGAACUGCUGGAAUGUUGGGUUGAACUUCCCUGCUAGGUACCACGAAUGACGUUGGCUACUUUAACUCUUUUCAUUAGGAGAAACGUGGGAUGUUCCCAAAAGAUGAGGGGAAUAGGAUCAAAGCGGAUGCACUGGCUCGUCCAAUUACUGUUGUGGAUCCUACUGCAAGUGAAGGUGGGAAAAUGGAUCUUUUCUGCUUGCUCAAGAGAUGCCGGUUGAGAAAAAACCAAAGACUUCUUUCGCUGCUCAUGAGGGUCCGUUUGCUACCAAGAGGUAUGUGAUUGACAUGACUUCUUCCAAUGGGAAGAAAUGUAAGGCUGCUAGAUCUGAGCAUGUGGCGUCUUCCAUGUUGAGAAUGGCUAGUACAAUUGUGGAUAAGAUUACUCAGCGUAAAGGUUUUAUCAUGCCCCCAGUGCCGAAGUCUGUACCAGGACGUUCUUUGGGAGCCAAGUCCGGUUCACCUUUGUAGAGACUUGCUAUUAUGAAGAGUGGUAAGGUGGACUCUGCUGCUAAAGUGGCGCCAAAGCCUGCUCCCUUUGCUGCUGAGAUUGAUUCGCCUCAGAUUCAAGAUCUUAAGCUUGCAAUUUCUGAGAUUCAUUUCGCUACUUAUGCUAAGAAGAGAGCGGAUGAGCUGCAGCGCGUCCGUGUUAGUCUGCUUAAGAAGAAUGAGCAACUGAAGGGUGAGAAGGAUGGGCUUGAGGUUUUAAGACCUUCUCUAUUUCUCCGGAAGACUUGCUUGCUUUUACUUUUAAGGCUUCCAUUAGUGAAGUAGUUGGAGAAGUUAGUGCCCAGACUGGGGCAGCCAGGGGUGAAGCGUCGGAUGAUGCCGCUGCUAAGAGCGUUACGGCUGUUGAAGGUGUGGCGACCGAGUAGUCGUGGGAUGUCCAAGCUGCUGUAGUGUAGUAUUUUAGGUAGCCUUUAGGAUUUUCUUUGUUUUUCCUUGUAGCUUUUGUUUUGCUUGAACUCCUUCAGCCUUUGCUAGUUGUUUAUAAACAUGUUUUCCUUCGUUUUUCUUCAUCUUCACUUCUUUUGUUCAUGCCCUAACCUUUAGACUUGAUAGACCAGUGGCAGGCAUGCUACUUUUUUAUAAGCAGACAAACUCGCGUAGCCUAUGCAGCCGUAGGUGUUGGUGUAGAACUUUGCAAAGUUGUUAGCCAUAGGGUUGGCAGCCGGAUGCCUUACUUACAGAAGCAGACAAGUCCGCGUAACCACUAGGCUGUUAACCUUGACUUUCUUCAAUUCCGUAGGUUACGUAGCAAGUAUCACAACACUUUAGGACUUGGUGUAUGUUGUUCCGCGCUUGGCAGAGGUGAAGCUUAUCAACUACGUAGCAUGUCGGCAGUGGAUAAAACUUCGUAUAUGCGCGCUAGCUUGUUUAACCUUUCACAAGAAUGUGCGGUUGUAUAAGUCUAGUGCGGCUUCACUGCUCGAAGGGCAAGCCGUAGGCAGUCUUCCGGAAUCCGUAGGCUACCUUAGUGCACUCGGUAGCAGCUUUAGGAUUCCAGGGCAGCCGUCCAUCGGAUGUACUGCGUAAUGUGCCCUCUCCGUCUCUAGGGCCCGGUUCCCCACGGAUUAGGCCAAGAGACCCAAAAUCCUUCAGUUAGCUAAGCCUUGAAAAAGACCAUUGCGGCUACUUCUAGGAAUCCCGGCGCAAGCCAUUGUGCAUCUAGUUAUACUAGGGCAGCCAGGCUCAUCCACGUCUGGAUAUUCGGAGUGUAAAGUUUAUCCUCCCGUCUUGGAGAGCUGACCCAUAUGGGUGUCGGAGAAUUGGUUUACCCUCUCGCACUGGAGAGCAUGGUUGGUCCCUCGGGGGGCGCAAUUCCUGCGAUGAGUCCCUAAGAAUGGCGCAGUCUUCUUUUGAAGUGCAGGAGUGAUUAGUUGUUGUAAGCAUACAGCCAAGCCAAGUUGUGAUUACUUCUAAAUUCCUCAUUGAAAAACGAGUGAAACGAACGAGAACUUUAGCUGUAAGGUAGGAACUGCAUAACAACUGGAUAGUCCUCAGCUUGUGAGGUGGUGCCCGUCGAGCUUAUUGAGUCUUCGGGUUUUGAUGUAGCGGGAGGUCACACAUGGUACUUCUUCAGAUUGUAGGCCAUCCAUUUCUUUUCAAUCUUUUUGCCGCUUCAUGGUGGUGAGGGUGUAAUUACUCUUGCCCCUUACUCUGCUGAUCUUGUACGGACCUUCCCAGAUGGGAUCCAUCUUUUUGGAGCCUUCUCUGCCGGCAGUGAUGAAGGCUUUUCUGCGUCGUCGACAUGCAAAUGCCAGAAGUCUCCAUCGGGUGGAGUAAGCGCAGCUAGAGUGUGCUCGGCUACUUCUGAGGCAUCGUUGGGCCGCUCUGUUGCGUCACCUAGGCUCGGCGUGAAGACGCAGUAGGGAGCUGUGGAGAUGGGGCCAUGUCAUACGCAACAGGAGAUGCUCAACUGCCGGUAUUGGGCCACUCUAGAGUUGAAUCAUUGAGCAAGGGUCGGCUAGGGCCGUGUGAUGCGCAGCAAGAAAUGGUACUCAACUGCCGGUACAUGUUGCUCCUAUGUAGAAUCUUUUAGGGUGACGAGGACAAAAACUUGCUUUCGAGUGUGUCCUUCCAGUGUUGCGUUCGUCAUAAAACUUUACAUCCGCCAGGGUCUACGCCUUUAUCGUCGCGCGUCUGGAUUGGGCAGAAUAGUACGUCAUUAGGAUGAUUGCAUGCGUUUGAAAGUAAAACUUGUGUUUCUGGGUUGCAACAACUAUCGCCAAAGUUAGCUUUUGAAUUUUUAAUAACAUCGAGGAGAGCUUUUGAACUGUAGAAUACAGGUAACUGUGGAAUACAGGUAGUUGGGCCCCCAUCUCUUCUCGCAUGAUGGUAGAGCUUAUUGCUACUUUAGAUAUCGUCAAACAUGUGAAUAAGUCAUCCGCUGCUUCUAGGGAGGUGAUGUCGGGUACUUCUUCAAGUCCUUGAAUGUGCAUUGGCGAGCCUCAUCCCAAAGUGCAUACUUCUCUGCCAAAGCAAAAGAAUCUGCCAGAGUUAGAUCUUCUUUCAUGAUCAAUUUUCCGAAUAGCGGGUGGUCUGCUGGAAGUCCUUUUUGGAAGGCUGCUCUAGCUAUCGAGUCGUUGCAUCCGACUAUUUUUGCCUUCUCUACUUUGAAACUCCUCACAUAGUCGCGAAGUGACUCUUUUGGGUUCUUCUUGACGUUGAACAAAUGAUCAGAUUUCUUUUUGAUCGAGCGAUAGGAUGAAUAUUCUUUGGUGAAAACCAAAGAAAGUUCGUAGAAAUUCCGGAUGGAUUGUGGCAGCAGGGUGUAGAACCAAUCUUGCGCCUCGCCUUGUAGAGUGGUGGCGAAUAUCUUGCACAUAAGCUCAUCGUUGUUUCGAUAAAGGAUCAUUGCGCUUCGGUAACGCUUUAAGUGUCUCUCCGGGUCUUCAUCCCCUUUGAAAAAUGUGAAAUGUGGCAUGCUGAACUCUCGUGGAGGCUCUGCCUGCUCGAUCUCGUCCGUGAAGGGUGACCUGCUUAUGUUGGUCAUGUUCCAUCGUAGUGCCUCGUCGGUGACCUCGUUGCGUUGGAAAUCAUGCAAUCGCUUGGUCAAGAGUCUCUCUACUUCUUCCUGAAUUUGCCUUUGUUGGGGUAGCGGAGCUCUCGGCUGUCCCCAGCCAUGACUUGCUGGUCUAGACUGCUCUUCCAUAUGUUUGGCUCGUCUACGCCGCAGAUGCAGUGCAUGUGGUGCGUUCCUAGCAGGCGAGCGAGUUCUUCGCAGGCUGCUGGUUGAACUUGAGCUGGAUUGAGUGACUGCCUCUCUCCGUCCGUCGUGCUGCCUACUCUGAUGUGAGGUGGAUGAUGCUCCUUGUGGGCUUAGCUGCGAAUGAACACUUUGUCCGGAAGGUUGCUCAUGUUGACUAUCGGAGUGUGACCCCAACCGUGAAUGUAUGCUUAUCCGUGGGCCUAGUCGAGAGUACACGCUCCUCCGCGCGCUAAGACGGGAGUAUACGCUAUCUCGGGGGCCCAAUCGGGAAUGUACACUGCCUGAACGUUCGGCUUGUGGCUGGUCGAAUGGCUGCUUGCCGGGACGCUGCUGGAAAGGUUCGUCUGCCCUUGUCCUACUUCGGGAUACCUCGUCCGGGGCACGUUGGAUCCCGAUGCGUUGCAAAAGUUGAUUCACCAAAGUUGUCUGUUGUGUAAGGGCGCUCGUCAACUCUAUGACUUGUCGAGACAAGUGUUGUUCGCCAUUUGGAUUGGAAGAGCUUGGAAGGAAUGCGCCUCCUUGGGCAGUGGAAAUGUGGUAGACUCCGGGCGCGAGAUUUGAAUUGGGAAAUGUCAAAUCCGCGAAAAAAUAUGGUGAGAAUGCCCCAGGCUCGAUGGUAGGUCCGGAUGGUUGAGAUAGUCUUGGGUCGACUUGGGCUACUUGGAAAGCCACUGGAGCAUGAUGGGCCGUGAGAGUGGGCUGCUCGUCGGGAGCAUGCUGGGUCACGAGAGCAGGCUGCUCGGCAGGAGCAGGUUGGGCCGUGAGAGUGGGCUGCUCGACGGAAGCAGGCUGAACCACGGGAGUGAGCUGCUCGUCGGGAGCAGGCUGGGUCACGAGAGCAGGCUGCUUGGCAGGAGUGGGCUGCUCGACGGAAGCAGGCUGGACCACGGGAGUGGGUUGCUCGUCGGGAGCAGGCUGGGUCACGAGAGCAGGCUGGGCCACGGGAGUGGGCUGCUUGGCAGGAGCAGGCUGGGCCACCGGAGUGGGCUGCUCGACGAAAGCAGGCUGGGCCACGGGAGUGGGCUGCUCGUCGGGAGCAGGCUGGGUCACGAGAGCAGGCUGCUCGGCAGGAGCAGGUUGGGCCGUGAGAGUGGGUUGCUUGACGGGAGCAGGCUGCUCAAUGCGCGGUGCAUGUGAAUGCGAGGCUUGGGCUUGGGUCCACGUAAACUUAGAUGGCACGGCUUGGAUCGUGGUCUUGGUACCGUGAGCCUUGGAUGGCACGGCUCGGGCCGUGGUGAAGGCUCCAUGGACCUCGCCACGAGUGGCUACCGAAGUAGCCACUGCGGUGGUUCCCAUGGUGGCCGUGGUGAAGGCACCAUGGACCUCGCCGCGGGUAGCUACCGAGGUAGCCACCACAGUGGUUCCCAUGGUAGAAGCUUGUGGUGAUGAUGCCGCUCCCCUUAUUGUCUCAUUUUGCCUCACGGAUCUCCGGGCCGUGGUGAAGGCUCCAUGGACCUCGCCAUGAGUGGCUACCGAAGUAGCCACUGCGGUGGUUCCCAUGGUGGCCGUGGUGAAGGCACCAUGGACCUCGCCGCGGGUGGCUACCGAGGUAGCCACCACGGUGGUUCCCAUGGUGGAAGCUCGUGAUGAUGAUGCCGCUCCCCUUAUUGUCGCAUUUAGCCUCACGGAUCUCCGCAAUCCCAUUUCUUGAACAUUAGAAUUUUCACUUGUGGAAUUUUCUAAAUUUCUAGCCAUUAUAUUUUGUUUAUACGUUUUAUCAAAGAGCCUUUGCAAGUAAAAAAUUCUAAUAAUAAGAACGUAUGAAAAAUAUUCAAAUGGACUAGAAAAUAAAGAAAAAACCUUUUUGUGCGAGAGUCUUCUACAAGUAUGGAUUUCAACUCUCAAUGAAAGCACCAAUUUGUGGAUGCAAAUUUCUUCCUCCUUGAUCUUGGACAAUUUUGCACCUACAAAACAAUUAACACCUUAGGUUAAGGCCAAAAGCCUCACGCGCCCACGAUGAAUGGGGGGGCUUUGGCCGAAGAACCUCCGAUGCCAAAGUUAGAAUUUAGAGAGAAAGAGUGUUUAGAGAAUUUUGGGAUUUUUGCCAAAGUGUUGGAAUUAGCUUUUUGGUGAGAAUGGGAGUAUAUUUAUAGGGAUAGGAGGUGGCUAGGGUUUUUAGGUUUAAUUUAGGUUUAAUUAGCCAAUUUAUUUGGCUAUUAAACAUAAGAUGAAUGUUUUGGUGGUUUUUGAAUUUAUUGGGUAAUAAAAAGGAAGAAAUUGUGAAAAAGGUAGAAAAAAGUGAUGGAUUAGGUUUUGAAAUGGGGAUAGCCGGCCAUGUGGUGUUUUAGGG